rnacentral:lncRNA from 1 species
CUGACAUUAACUUGUCACUGUGUUAUAAUGUAUUCCUUUAGUCUCAGGUGAGAACAAAUGUACAUUGCUACUUUGCUGCUUUUCACAUUUUAUCUUCUGUCUUUCUGGUAGCUGACCUUGCAGGUCAGACUGUUCAUGCUCCAAGGAGUGCUCCUGAGAAACUCAGAGAGUUCAUUAUCAGUCCUAGUUCUAGUGCAUCAUCAAUAACCACUCCACUGCAGAGGGGCACGUCUCCCUAAAAAGCAAUGCCUGUUGUUGACCAUGUCCCUAGUGUCUUAGCAGAUAUUACAGAUGUUAAAAACUCGUAUGCUGAGUCCCCAUCCCCAAAGGGCUUACAGUUCAGUUGGAGAGACAGGGUAAGCUAGAGCAAAAUACACUUCUGUAGGGAAAUAUGUGAUUCAGAGCAUAAGGACUGAAAGAGUUCCAAAGAGAGGAGACCAUGGCUGACACGACUGAGGAGUUUUCAGGGAGGAGAUGAAACCAGGUCUAGGCCUUGUUGAAACAGUUUCAACAGAAGGUAACAUGGAAAAAGUGUUACAGACAGGGAACAGCACAUUUCUGAAAACCUUGUGUGCCAGGCAUAUAGUAGAUGCUGAUAUGAACAUCUUAAGACCUUUUGGGAAUGAGGAAGGGAAGAAACAAUGAAUGUAAGAUUGAGGGACAAAUGAAUGGAUUAAAAAGUGCAUGAAUGAAGUAAUGACUGGAGCAUGAAAUGCCCAGAGCCCCGCAAAUAUAUCUAGACCUGAGCAGACUCCUCGCCGAAGGAUGCUGAGCUCCCUCCAUACCCGGGUAGCCUUAGGAAUAUUGGGAGCCAGUGGAUUCCACCUCCAGCCUCUAAUUGGGGCCAGGACUUGCUUGCAUCCAGUGGGCUUUUGCUGACACCUAGCCAGAAGCCUGAGCCUCCCUCUCACCUGCUCCAAGACACAGAUGAGGUGGGGGACUGGUUCAUUUAGACAUUGUAUGGUCUGUCUCCUGUUCCUGUUCUCCAGGGAUAGCACCUGGAUGUAUCACACAGCUUAGCCUCUAAGCUUUUCCCUCUACCUGACCUUUCCUUGUGCUCCCUGAGGCCACCAGCCCAUGCCUGAUACACUCAGCUCUUCUCAGUAGUCUCCACCUCUUGGCUCUUUCCAGAGCCCCUUCUCCUGUGACAGGUUCAUUCCCCUACAACUCUACUAUUCUUUCCCUGGAGCUUCUUUCUGUCUCCUGCAAAGCUCCUCUGAACUUUGUCAUCUCUACCCUUCAUCAUUGCUGUCCUGUACAGACUACGUGGUAGCACCCCCUCUCCCCCCAUUUACUCUACCCCUGGCCCCCAGUCUUCGCAGCUCCUACCAAUGCUGUGAAUGACUUCAGCACCCUUCCAACACCCAGCCUCUCUCAGCUCCUUGACAUCCUCAUCUCUGGUGACCUACACGCCUACUCCACGUCAUCCACCCACUCUUAUGGUCUCAUCCUGUUCCUUGUCAUCACUGGCUUUGCCUCUGCAUUGUAAAAUUCAGACAACCCAGCCCCCCACGCCUCCAAGCCUCUUCUUUAUUCCAUGUCAAGUGCCAGGACCCAUCACUGCAACUCCCUCUCUGCCAGGAUCCCCCUCCCUCCUGCCUCAGCAACCUAGCAAAAUCCCACUGUCCAACUUUGGAUCUCUAUCCACGGCACUGAGGAUUGCUGGAGAAAUCCCACAACUUAGGAGACAAGAACCACUAAGGAUUCUUAGCUUCCAUCAGCAACUGGACCCUGCGUGCUGCCCUAAAAUCCUUCUACAUUCUCCUGGUCCCAGUCUCCAGAGCAGAUAUAGCAAAUGUUCACUAGUGCUGUGGACUGAAUGUGUGUGUCUCCCCAAAAUUCAUGUGUUGAAACCUAACUCCCAGCGUGGUUGUGUUUGGAGGUGGGGGCCUUUGGGAGGUGAUUAGAUCAUGAAGGCAGAGCCCUGAGGAAUGGGAUUAGUGCCUUUAUAAAAGAGACUUAGAACUCCUUCACUCCCUUCAGCCAUCUGAGGACACAGUGAAAAGACCAUCUAUGAACCAGGAAGAAGGCUCUCACUAGACACCAAGUCUGCCAGUGCCUUGAUCAUGGACUUCUCAGCCUCCAUAACUAAGCUAACAUGAAGAGAAUAGCUGGAGAUGAUCCAUUGCCAUCUCAAGAUGACCUGAAGUCCACAAUGCUCAGCAAAGCUGGAGUGAGUGAACUCCUUACUUCUACCUGCCAAGAAGCUCCAUGUUGCUACUGUGUCCAUUUUGUCCCAAGCAACAGGUUAGGGAGGAGUAACAGGUAAGAAAUCUUUGGCUCUUCAGAGAAAACUGACAUGGGUUCCAGCAUCUGAUUUUGCAUCCAGCCAGUGAGUGUUGUUUCUGGAGUCAGAGCUGCUCUAGCAAGAGCUGAAGUGUAAGGUGCAAUGAAAUAGUGCACUAGCCUUGGCACAUUGCUUGAGGAGCAGUGUGCACCAUGCUGGGUUCCUGGAAGUUUUGGGAGGCUAUGGGUAUGGAUUCUGUACAGUCUCAGGAGGAAUCGAAACCCAGUUGCCAUUGACCAUGAGUUAAUGAGAGAAUUGGGGGACAGAGGAAAAGAGCUUAUCCCAAUCCUUUCUGAGGUGCCCAAACCUCUGUUGGGUGUAGUGGACAAAGGAGCAAGAAGUGGCAAUUACUGAGCACAUGGCCUAAAAUUCCAUCCUUGGUCCUAUGACUGCACUUUACAUGGACCUCUAUCCAUGGAAUUUGAGGAGUUUCCACCUCAAGAUGGGAGUGACUGGGUAUGAGUGCAGUGGUGUUAGUGAGAGUUUGGGACCAGUGCUUUUCUUGACACUGAGGCUCUCUUGAUACUCACUUGUUCAAAGUGACCAAGUCAGAGUGGGUUAACUUGGGGCUCCAGAUUCCCCUGAACAGAUGCCACAACAACCUACCCAGUGAUUAGCCCACGUGCUGUGUCUUGCCGUGAGCAGAGUAUAGUCACAUUUGGAUGUACAACAGCCUCGUGAGUAAGUUGGCAUUGCCCACUCUGUGGUUCCUUUGGCAGCCUAUCAUAGCGCAUGCUAUUCACACACAGACUAGAUAUUUGUUCUUCUUUCCUCAUCUCCCGCCAAGAAAUAAACACAACUAGGACUUUAAGAAGUUACCUGGAGGGCACAUAACUCCUUCAUUGUCAGCUUCAGAUUUCUAAUCUGCAAUGUAAUUUUCUUCAUGGCAGUUAGACUUGCAUGGAGAAUCUGAUGCGAGUCAUUUGAGGUAACACAGAGAACCCCAUAAAACAAGAUCAGCCCUCAACAGCACUCCUGGACAAGCAGCGCAGUGCUGGAGCAUGCUUGAAGCCCACUCCAGCCGGAGGAGAUGCACAAUGAAAUGAGGACAUUGGGAAGUUAAAAACUUCUACAAUUCAGCAAGUUAAAUGCAAAUGUUUAAAAAAGUUUCUUUUACUACAAUCUUACAUGUUCUAAAUUUCUCUUCUUUUAUGAUUUUUUGGACAAAUGUAUUUAUUUCUAAAGCCAUUGAGUGAAUACAAUGUUUGAGAAAGAAAGAGUAUGGUGAGUCAAGAAGAGGACUGAGGACCUUAACAAGCAUGGCCCUUGGAAAGGAGAGAAGGCAGAGAGUAGGAAGGGGACAAGUAAGGGGAAAGGCAGCUCAGUAGAAGCGCGGAGGCAGAGACGACACUGAUGUUUGGAGUCCCUCAAGCAGUGGAUGUCGUGCCUCAGGGAAGCAUCCCUGAACCCCCAGGACAGGCCACCUGCUGAACCCCAAGCCUGCCUCAUCGCUGCUUCACUCAGCUAAUGGCGCUCCACCUUCACCAGUUUAUUUACUGGGAUUCCAUGUCCAAUUUUAUUUUAAAUGUGGCAUCGCUGCUUUAAAAAAUAAAGUCAAGCAAAAUACCUAGGAAGCUUGAUUAAAAUGCAGAUUAUUGGCCUCUGCCCCUAAAGAGUGAGGAGUUUGGAGUGAGGCCAUGGGUAGCCUGCCUUUCUAGCCAGGAGGUACCUGACCACAUCUUGCAAAACCUUUCUUGGAUGGUGGCUUAAGACUCAUUUACUCCAAAUGAGGUUCUGAGUGUUUGAGCUCACAUCCCCAGUAAAUUAAGAUUCUUUCUUUUGCUUCCAUUUUGCUCUUUUUUUUUUUUUUUUUUUUUUUUUGCUGGGGAAGAUUCACGCUGAUCUAACAUCUGUUGUCAAUUUUCCUCUUUUUCUUUUUUUUUUAAUGUGAGCCGCCACCAGAGCAUGGGCACUGACAGAUGAGUGGUGUGGUUCUGUGCCCAGGAACCGAAUCCAGGCUGCCGAAGUGGUACACACUGAACUUUAACCACUACACCAUUGGGGCUGGCCCCAUUUUGCAUUUUUUGAAGACAAAUAUUUUUUUAAAAUUCCUCUAUUAUUAAUAUUUAAUAACCUGUACAUUUGUGAAGGAGACAUUCAGGAGAAGGAAACAAGUUUUGCCUGUAGAAAAAAAGGAAGAGCAACAGAGAUACAUUUUCAUGACGUUGAGCCUUCAUCCUUCUUUUCCGAAUCAGAUUUUGGAUUAAUAGCUGUUGAAUGUCCACAGUAAUUCUUCUUUAGUAGUUUAAGAUGGAUCUUGGAUACAAGUCCUGAAAAUACUGCCAAGAAAAUGAGGGUCUGUACGGUAAAAGGAAAAAACACUGAGGUAACAAAGAAUGCAGCAUCGACACGCAGAAGGGCCUUCUCACACAUCAGAGGCAGACCUGUGUCUGUGGCCCUGGUCUCUGUUUGAGUCCCUCUUUUGUAGCCUCUCCAACACUUAGUUGGGGCCACCAAAGCUUCUUUAACCCGCAGUACACAGUAGUUCACAGCAUCACUUGGAAAAGAAUUUGGAACUUCAACCUGGAAGGCCAUGGAUUCACCUCGGACUCCUGCUCCUUCUCUCAGCCCAGACCCAGCUUUCUACAGCUCAGAAAACCUGAGCAGGACUCUCCCCUUCCCCACUCUCCCUGGACUGGCCAGAAACAGAAAGAGCCUGAAAGUGAUAAAUGUUGGGAAGGAGAAAUGAAUCAAGGCACAGGUGUGAGGAGCCAGUGAAGAGAGUCACGAAAUAUUUUCGAGAAAAGCUCCUUGUGGCAAAUUCUGUUUUUCCUGGAGCUACCCAAGCCCAAGACACACUUCUGGAGCCAGCCAAGGAAGAGGCCCAUGGAAUUUUAAGUAUCUUGAAAACAAAAGAAAUGCAGGCAGAGGCGCCCUAUGUAUUUAUGAGCAGACAUGAUUCAACGCAGUAAUGAUGCAUUUGUUCUUUAUGCCCAAAGACAAAAUUACUGGUAAAACAUCAAGGAAAACCCUUGGAAAAGGAAAAGCCUCAUAAUAACAAAUAUUAAUAGCUACUCUAAAACUGGCCUUUACCAGGUUCUGGGCACUGUUCUAUGUCUUUCAUGCACAUUAUUUAAUCUUCAUAACAACCUACAAAGUAGAUACUUUUAUAUCCCCAAUUUGCAGAGGGGAAAACAGAGAGGCUGAGUAGCUCACUCCAGGUCAGACAGCGAGUUCGAGGUGGAGCUGGGAUAGGAACCCAGAUGGGGCCACUCUGCCUGACCCUUGACUCCAUGCUGUCUUGUGAGGUUAAACACUCAUAAAAGACAGACACCAUGAGUUGUGGUUUUCCUUAAGAGCUAAAAAUUUCUUCCUUGAAAAUAAAGGCUAAAAAGCCCAUCCACAAGAAAGUGUGUUCGGGGCAAGUGAGUAUGGCAUAUCCCGGGGAUUAACUUGACUUCUCUUCAAUUUAUAUAUUGAAAAGUAAGUCCUUUGCAGACUUGGGAACUCUAUUGUUAGUAACAAAUGACUUGCACCACCACUGACAGCCCAUUGCAACCCCCCAGCGGGGUGCGACACCACCAUUGUGGAAAACAGACCUAAGCCGAGAGGGAUUUAUUGUGACUGAGUCGGAAAAGGUAGCUGGAAGGUGCAUAAAACUAGAUGUCAGCAGUUCAUGUCAGGUCUCUUAGAUUAGUGCCUUUCUGGAAAAGUGGGCAAGAAAAGUAGCCAGCGGAGGAGCUAACACAUCACAGUGUGGCAGUCGAGCCAGCAGAGAUAAGCUUCAGGGCGUCCUGCUGCCUGCCAAAACUACAGGACAGAAGUCCCAGAAGCCACAGCAUUUAUUGCAUAAGAUGAAAUCACUCCCAGCUGAGAAUUCUCCCCUUUGAAACAGCAAAUGACAAGCCCUGGGGAGGAGGAAUGAGCCACUUCUUCCAGGACAUUUGCAAGCUACCACUUGGCCAUUUUGGUCCCUUGGCACUCCUGGUAAAGCAGGCGACUUUGGUAAGUCACUGAAUGUUACUGUGAGAAGAUGAAAUAUAUGGUUCCCUAAGUCCCUUCUAACUCAAACCCCCUGUGGUGCUUUGAUUAAAAGGAGCCUGGUGAGUCGUCUUGAUUCACCGUGAGAAGGACCAGCUGAGACUGCUGGAUUUUCACAGCAUGCUUUCCUCCUGCCCUCGAUCUCCCAACAAUCCACCCCAAAGAGUUUUCUUUUUCAUUUCAAAUGAAUAGAUUCUGUAGAACCCUAAUGUAUCUUUGGUUUGCAGAUUCUAAAAUAUGCGUUGCUUACAUUCAGUCGAUUUAGCAUUAUUUAGGUUAUAAGCCUAAGACAUCUCUAUAUAUCCAAAAGUUAUGUCCUCAGACUUCCCUUGAUCUAAUUAUGUGCUCUUUGAGCCAUUCGUUACAAG